CACUCUUAAAACAUGAAUUUGUUUUAGUAUUGAGUCUUUAUUUCUUUCCGAAGAAUGACUUGAAAUGAAUAUGGCACAAGCGAAUCCAGUCAUGGAGCUUUUUUCUACAACGUAAUAGGUUUUACCAACUCGUUGGCUUUAAUGGAAAAGGAUCUUUUGGAUAUAGCUUUGGCGUUAUAACCAAAACUUUUAAA
rnacentral:misc_RNA from 1 species